UGACUAGCAUAGGUACCAGCGUAUCUCCUUGCACAUGUGAAUGAAAAAAUGAAUCUGCUCCUGGCAAGUGUAUUGUAAAAGCAUCUGCACACGAAAAAACCCCUGUGAGAACAAUCUGCUUUGGACCCUGGCACCAUGCCAUACCCACAAUGUGGCACUGGGUAUAUGCUGAUCUGCUGUGGAGGCAGC